UACGUAGGGUGCAAGCGUUGUCCGGAAUUAUUGGGCGUAAAGAGCUCGUAGGCGGUUUGUCGCGUCUGCUGUGAAAACUCGAGGCUCAACCUCGGGCUUGCAGUGGAUACGGGCAGACUAGAGUGCGGUAGGGGAGACUGGAAUUCCUGGUGUAGCGGUGGAAUGCGCAGAUAUCAGGAGGAACACCGAUGGCGAAGGCAGGUCUCUGGGCCGCAACUGACGCUGAGGAGCGAAAGCAUGGGGAGCGAACAGG
rnacentral:rRNA from 1 species